rnacentral:rRNA from 1 species
AUGCCGAUGGUUACCGGAGAGCAUGCCCUGAACGUGGAUGGAGUCGUCGCAGUAGCGGCAGAAGAGUGCCUGGCCUCCAGGCAGAAGACGAUGGCGGCGAUAGCAGGUGUGUUCCCGGAGGAAGACGAAGCUCCUCGCGCUUCCCCUAUUGUGGCUAGCGUGCAUGAUGUCGGCAGGCGGCUCAAUUUUGGGACAGAGGGAGUAGAAUGGAUGCGUCCGAGAUAA